GCCUGACACCACCAGGAUCCAUUCUGGGAAAAGUGUUUCAAGACAUGGAGUUUCUUUUGGGAUCUUUGUGACAACUCAAACAUUUUCAAAUACAGAGGGAAGAAGAAAGAGAAGGAAAGAAGGAAGACAAGUGAGUUUAUUUUUCUCCCCAGUUUAGAUGAGCCAAGAGCUUCUCCCCCCCCAACCUCACAACCUCCUCUGCACCCAGGAGGAGGAAACAGGUGCUGCUUCACGCUGGUGAAGUCAGGGGCGACAGUGGCUGUGAGGUUAGUGUUUCCCGAGACAUGGAAUCAAAGUCCUCAGGCUCUUCCCUGGUCCCCAAGAGCAGGUGAGCAGCCCCUGUCCCCAGAGUUCUACACACCUCUCCUUGUCACACUCACCACGCCUGGGAUUUUACAUUAUAUGGGGGAUGAUUUGAUGCCUUUUUAAAAUUAAUUUACUUAUUUCUUUUUGUCUUUUUAGGGCUGCACCUGCAGCAUAUAGAAGUUCCCAGGCUAGGGGUUGAGUCCAGGCUAGGGGUUGAGUCCGAGCUAUAGCUGCUGGGCUACACCACAGCCACAGUAGCGUGGGACCCGAGCUGAGCUGUGACCUAUGCCACAGCUCGCAGCAACGCCAGAUCCUUAACCCACUGAGCGAGGCCAGGGAUGGAACGCGCAUCCUCAUGGAUACUGGUCGGUUUUGGGACUCUGAUUCCUUUUUUUUUUUUUUUUUUGAAUUCCUCGUAGUAUUUUAAGCUCUGUGACCACUGGGACUAUAUUUGUUUCAAUUCACCACUGAAUCCACUCAGGGCUCCUCGAAAAUUCUGGACAGUGAGUAAGUGAUCAAUUAAUGUGUGUUAAUGGGGUAAAUGGAUGGAAAUACAAAUAAAGAAAGAACAUAAUUUUUAUAUGGACAUGUUAUAAAUAACUGUGAAUGGAUAUGGGCUGCAGGACAGUCUUCGGAAGCAAAUUAAUCCCCAUGCUGUAUUUGAUUUCAGGUACUUGAGUUAAAACCGGAUGAAACCCAGCAUCCCCAGCCUCACUUCCUCUCACGUCCAAGGGAGCAGGACUCACCCUUCUGUUUCCCGGCCAAGCCUGCUGAUGCCGAGCCCAGAGCCCAACCCUCCCUGCAGGGAGCCUGCCAAAUGGAAUAGAGAAAUAGGCCUUGGUCAUACAGUCAUGUCACAGGAAGGGACCCACGGACAAGGACUUCUCAGGAAGAUUGGUGCAAAGGACAUACUUCCAAGGGUGUGGCCUCCAGCGCCAACCUCGGGGCUCCACUCCAGACCCUGAAGGAGGAAGAGUGGUGCCAGUGGAUCCCUAGGAAGGGGACUCAAGAAGAAAGGAAGGUUCCAGAUGCCUGAGGAGGGAGCUGCGGUAUGUCAGGGAGCUGCCCCCAUCUCCGCCGGCUGGCCUGCACGCUGCCAAAUUGCCUCUUGAUAUUUAUUUGUUUCUUGUUUCUUUGACAGAAACACACACACACACACACACACACACACACACACACACACACACACACACACACACACACCCGUUGCUGACAUACACAAUUAAUCAGGCGGAGUAUUUCUGAUGUGUGGUUUAACCCUGCCCUGCACUUACCAGGUCCAGGUCCCAGGGCCCCGUAGCUGUCUCACACGGUUCCCUAGCAACCAGAUGAGACAGGGAAAUGUGCAGUUUCAUCACCACAAGAUGUUAGGUCAAUUAAUAUUCAUUAGCAGUGCCUGUGUUUGGCUGCUAGGAGACAUUACGGAGGAAAAAAAUCUUUGUUGCCUGAAUGGGGGGUGGAAGGGGUGGAGAGACCCAUGAAUAUGUAUGUUAUGUACUGAAGAUGUGUUUUCUUAUACUUACGCUCGCACACUGGCCCACAUGUACAUGUAGAUUAAAAACAUUCCUCUGUGUAUUGACAAUUAUUCUUCCAAGUUUAUAUUAUAGGACUAGGUUUUAGAAAAAAUAGGAAGGUUCUACCCCCAAAUAUUUAUCAUGGCUCAUUCAGGUCACCUGAAAUUAUACCACCAGUAAUUCUUUAAUUUAAUUUAAUUUUUUUCUUUUUUAGGGACGGACCUGCAGCAUGUGGAAGUUUCUGGGCUAGGGGUUGCAUGGGAGGUGCAGCUGCAGGCCUAUGCCACAGCCUUGGCAACACCAGAUCUGAGCCCCAUCUGCAAACUGUACUGUAGCUUGAGACAACACUGGAUCCUGAACCCACUGAGCAAAGCCAGGGAUUGAACCUGUAUCCUCACCGACACAAUGUUGGUUCUUAACCUGCUGAGCCACAAUGGGACUCCUAUUUUAUUUUAUUCUAUGAUUUCAAAGACUUUAUGUAUGUUUAAUAGGGUCUGAAAAAUAUAAUGAAAAUCCAGUUAUUUCCUGUAUACUCAUCAUGUGAGGAUAACUACAAUUAGCCUCUUGCUGUGUGCUCUUUUAGUGGGUUUUUGUUUUUUCCCCUCCAGCGAUCAGACACACACAUGCACACACACAGUCACAUGCAGUUUUACAAAAAUAGUGUUCUGUAUAUACUGUUGCACAGACGGCAUUUUACAAUGGUCGUUAUUAUUAUGAACAUUUUCUCAUUUGUAGAAGAUUCUUCUACAACAUCGUUGUUAUUCGUUGCGUAAUAUUUCUGUAAGUGUGCUUCCUAUGGCUCAUUUAACCAAAUGCCUAUUUUUAUUUAUGCAUUUAAGUUGUUUCCAUUUUUGAAAUUAUAAAUAAUGCUACAAUGAAUGUCCUUGUACAGUCAUCUUUGAAACUUUGUCCAAUUAUCUCCUUAGAGUAAAUUCCUAGCGGCAGAAGUGUAUGUUUAAAAGUCCCCGCCUCCCUUUUUUUUAAUGGCUAUGCUGAAGCAUAUGGAAAUGCCAGGGCUAGAGGCUGAAUCAGAGCUGCAGCUGAGGCCUAUGCCACAGCCAUGGCAACACCAGGUCCAAGCUGCACUGGCGACCAUGCUGCAGCUUGCAGCAAUGUGGGACCCUUAACUCACCAAGAGAGGCCAGGGAUCGAACCCUAUCCUCACGGAAACUAUGUCAGGUCCUUAACCUGCUGAGCCACAAUGGGGACUCCUUUUUUUUUUUUUUUUCUUUUUUGGCCUUGCCUGUGCCAUAUGGAAGUCCUCAGACCAGGGACUGAACCCUCGCCACAGCAGUGACAACGCCAGAUCCCUUAACUGCUGGGCCACCAGGGAAUUCCUAAAGGUCUUUUAAACACUUUGUCAGGUUCCCCUUCAAAGAGAAGGGGAAAAUUUCUGCUUUUCCCAAUAGCGAAUGAAGGUGCACCUGUGAUCUUUUUAAGUGACCCUGGCAGAGGUCACAUAUGAUGUCCAUUGUCUGAGUUUUGUCAGAAAUUUCCCUUCACCAUACCAGACUGGAGCCUGAGCCCUCUGAGGGAGAGGGUGCAGAUUCUAAAAGAGGGGGAUCUGGGGAUGCAGAGAACUGGUGAUUUUGUAUAAGUCAUGCCCAGUAUUUUUGGGCAACUCACCAGUCAAUAGCCCCAGAUGCAGCCUGGAACCAGCCAGCACAAAGCGAUGCUGCGCUCUGCCAGCCUCCAGCCCCGUGCUGUGUUCUGGAAAGACUGCUCCUGGCCUUGGAGGUGGCCCCCACGGCUCUGGUUUUAGUCUUGGGGCUCUGGUAGCCCUUCAUCCCAGCUCUAGGAAGAGGAUGGUGGAAGGCGGGUCAUAUAGAGGAGACCCAGAGGGUCUUGCUAAGGGAGAGAGAGGGCAGCUCUCAGCCCCCCUGGAGUUCUGGCAAGGGGAGAAGGAUGGGAUUUGCAGAGGCAGGGACACCUGUGGCCCCCUUGGUCUGUGUCUUUGUGUCUGCGUGUGUGUCUGUGUGUGUGGGGGGGUGUUGCUUGCGUACGAUGUGUGUGUGUGUUGCCUGUGUGUUGCCUGUGUGUAGUGUGUGUGUGUGUGUGUGUGUGUGUGUGUGUGUGUGUGUGUGUGGUGGAGUGUGCCCAUGCCCAUAGGCAUGCGUGUGGGUAGAUGGCUGGCUUGGCCUGAUUCUUCUCAUCCCUUCCCUGUCCUCUCGCAUGAGAUGAUAAAGAUAAAGCUUCUUGGUAACAAAAGGCCGCUGGGAAAGAGGAUCUUGAGGUCCUGCAAGGAGCUGCCUGGCUGAUCCCCACAGGAUAACAGGUUCCAUGGAGAAGAGGGAGAGAGAUCCUUACAUUUAAGGGUACGAGAGAAAUCCUAGUUUUGAAUGGGCAUGAUUUGAACUGGGGAAUUUCUGUUAGCUGCAUCA
rnacentral:lncRNA from 9 species